rnacentral:rRNA from 1 species
CAAUAGCGUAUAUUAAAGUUGUUGCGGUUAAAAGCUCGUAGUUGGAUUUCUGCCGAGGAUGACCGGUCCGCCCUGUGGGUGUGCAUCUGGCUCAGCCUUGGCAUCUUCCUGAAGAACGUAGCUGCACUUGACUGUGUGGUGCGGUAUUUAGGACAUUUACUUUGAGGAAAUUAGAGUGUUCAAAGCAGGCAGCUCGCCUGAAUAAUGGUGCAUGGAAUAAUAGAAAAGGACCUCGGUUCUAUUUUGUUGGUUUCCGGAACUUGAGGUAAUGAUUAAGAGGGACAGACGGGGGCAUUCGUAUUACGGUGUUAGAGGUGAAAUUCUUGGAUCGCCGUAAGACGAACUACUGCGAAAGCAUUUGCCAAGAAUGUUUUCAUUAAUCAAGAACGAAAGUCAGAGGUUCGAAGACGAUCAGAUACCAU